rnacentral:tRNA from 1 species
GCGGGGGUGCCGGAGCGGUCAAACGGGCUGGGCUUAGGACCCAGUAGCUUAGUGCUUACGCAGGUUCAAAUCCUGUCCCCCGCA